rnacentral:rRNA from 1 species
UACAGAGGGGGCAAGCGUUGUUCGGAAUUACUGGGCGUAAAGGGCGCGUAGGCGGCCUUCUAAGUCGAACGUGAAAUCCCCGGGCUCAACCCGGGAACUGCGUCCGAUACUGGAAGGCUUGAAUCCGGGAGAGGGAUGUGGAAUUCCAGGUGUAGCGGUGAAAUGCGUAGAUAUCUGGAGGAACACCGGUGGCGAAGGCGACAUCCUGGACCGGCAUUGACGCUGAGGCGCGAAAGCUAGGGGAGCAAACGGG